rnacentral:rRNA from 1 species
UACGUAGGUGGCAAGCUUUGUCCGGAUUUACUGGGCGUAAAGAGCGCGCAGGCGGUCGGAUUAGUCGCGUGUGAAAGCCCCCGGCUCAACUGGGGAGGGUCACGCGAUACUGUUCGACUCGAAGGCAGGAGAGGGAAGUGGAAUUCCCGGUGUAGUGGUGAAAUGCGUAGAUAUCGGGAGGAACACCAGUGGCGAAGGCGACUUCCUGGCCUGUUCUUGACGCUGAGGCGCGAAAGCUAGGGUAGCAAACGGG